rnacentral:ribozyme from 1 species
UGAAGCAAGAGGAAACGAAGAAAGAAGAAAGCAGGAAGAAAAGACGACAUGAAAUCAAAAAUAUUACUGUCUUUUUGACUCUUUUUCUUUUCUUCUUAUUAUUACGCCGUCUGACUUUUGUUUGUUUGAUAUAUCAUAGAU